CAACCUUGACCAUUGGAUCUUGCUGAGGUUUAAUCUCAGCCCUUUAAACUCACUUUUUUAACCGUUGUAUCAAUAGUUAUCGACGGUUUCUUUGUCGGUUAAGGUUUUGCCCCACGUUUUCCACCUCCCAUGAUUUUAGGCUGCCCAGCAGUUGUCUCGUAUCUCUUCCCCACCCAUAAAACUACCAUCUCACCUCCACAGCCCGGCGACAAUGAGGAGAAUUUCUACGGUUCCAAGAGUUCGAGACGUGAUUUCAUCCACAGGAUGUUUAGGGUCAGAACACUGUCAAUUCUGCAAUUUUUGGCCAUUCUUGCAGAUGAAUCUGGUAACAAAUAGCCUUAUAUUAUGUGUUCAAGAAGCAAAUCCACGACGAAGUUGAAACAGGGAAAGGCAAUUGGGAUAAUUCAAGAACCACUCUACAAAACAUACCCUGCCAUCGCUACAGAAAGGAAGAAGAACACGAGAUUGGGAUUUGGGGGAUUCUAGCCACUACUCUUGCUAUGUUUUCAAGGCAUUGAUUCUCUAUGUUGCCAGAUGUUUAAAUAAUGGAUCAGGAUUCUCGAAAGGAACACUUAGUGGUUGCUCAUAGUUUGUCUUCACAAUUGGCCACACAAGAAGGUCUGCUAUUCUUGCCUGUUUUCAAUUUCCUAAUUAAUAAAAAGUAGACCAAAUUACUUAGUUUGGUGGUAUGAUAUUUGUUAAAUUUUGAUCUUUUAAUAUGUAUUUUGGACCUGUGGUCAGGACAAAAUAAAAUAGGGUCUAUGAUUAAGUUUAACAAGCAUAUGUAUAUGCUUUAAAAGGAUACAUGUGUCAGUGUUAUGGCCAUUCGAUAUUCAGAUAUUACACGGUGAACCUUGAUUCACAUCACAAGAUUCUUACACGUUUAACAACAACUAACUAAGCCAUUAACAUAUUUAUAAUUUGUGGUUCAAUCUGAACAUCUUGAAGAAUUUUAAGAAAAGAGUUAUGCUAUUUCCCUUGGAUAUAUUGGUUUAAAUUAUAUUCUUUCUUUUUUGUCUAACCUUUAGACUUCAAGUUGAGGUGGGAUGGUUCUCUAAAGCGAUGUGCAGGAUUUCAGUAAGCCAUAUGAAUUGCUAAUUGAGUAAUUAUGUUUAUCGUUGGUGAUAUAUGAUGAUAUCAACAUGGUCCCUAUUCUAAAUAUAUUGUAUUUUAGUAUCUCUACUUGUGAGAUGCAAGUCGCAUGUUCAUUGCUUUCAGAUAUUUUUGCCAUAUGUGGUUAAUACGCUAUCUUUUAAAUGAUGCAUGCUUGAGCAGCAUCCGAAUCUGGAGGGGAUGAUGGAAUAUUGCAGCCCCGUCUACUAAAAGCUUUUUGCUUUGAGAGAUGUUGGGGGAAUUGAAAGAUAAUACGAUUGUAUAUGUGAGAUUAAAAACCAUGUAAUCACUUUGGAAGGAUCCUCCAUGUUCAGAAGCAUUAAUAGCAUUAAUCAAACGACAUAAGAUACUUAGGAUCCUAAGUUAGUUCACAUUCUUCUUCAAAACGCAUAAAUUGACAUACAAGCUGCCAAUAAUCUAGAUUCUAGAAGAAAUUUAAGUUUUUUAAUUUCCUAAGUUGAAAUUCCAAUUGCUUCAGUGAACAGUUGGAUUUGUUUCCGGUUGGAUACAGGUAUUCUUACCUUUUUCGGUCUACUUUUUAGACUUGAUUGCCGGUUGGAUUGUCUAUGAUCCCAACCUAGCUCGGUCACCUCGAGUAGCCAUAGUGUCGCUAGGAACUGGAAACAAUUUCCCAUUUGCAUUGUGUUCAUUAGACAAUUCAUAGUUAAAUUGGUUUAAUAGUUUUGUAUGAGUGAGAAGCUUAACAUUAUUUAUAUUGUUUUGCAGGGGAAGAAAAAGUCGGGCACCGGCCUUGAAUCUGACAAUGUGUUUAUGAAUCAAUUAAAGAUGCUAAAUAGAUUAAUGUUGAUAGUUUCAGUUUCAUUACCUGAUUCACCCAUUUGCAACUGGUUCAACUCAGAUUGAGCAUCCGGAUUGGGUACAAUGAGGUCAGCUCGGCAGACUGGACAUGUGGCAUGAGAAGCUAACCACGAAUUCAGUCAAGAUGAAACACAUGAUGGCAAUUCGGUAGAAACCGAAGGCGUUCGUGGUCCGCAAACUCGGAUAAGCACACAGCACAUUCCAAGCAUCCUUUGCCAAUUUUGAGUUCUUUUACAUCAGAAUAAAGAAACACUGGAAACGACUCAACUAUUUUUUUUUAUCAAGGCCGCAUGGGAAUUUUAUUCGCGAAGCGCGAUUGGUCCCUAGCGGAUGAGGCAGGCGAGACUCGAAAGAAGAGGUGUCUAAACACUUGCGAAAGUAUAACGAAAAAAACAAAAUUAAACUCAAGCUGAAGAUGACUGCAAUUAUUAUGAUUUUCAUGGUAGAAUUGAGGUUUAGCCCGAUAUCAUACGGGUAUGCUGGAGUAGAACGUUUGAAUGAUUGAGAGGCGGCUAACGGUAAUGCGAGCAUCACCGGUAAUGAGAUGAUGAAUAAUGGAUGAGAAAUGUAAUGUGUUUCCAUAUUGAGUUUGAUCAAAACAAGAAAGUGAUGGGGGAAUAUAUGGUGGUUGGAAACACGAGCAAAACAAUAGUGAUCUUCGAACAAAACAAUAGUGAUCUUCAGGUUAGUUAUUAAAAUCGUUUUGGUCGUGAAAAUCAUUCAUGAAAUGAGGAAAUAAACGAAAUUAGUAGGCACAUGAAAGGGGUCAUCUUUUACAAUAGGUGAAUGUUUUGAAUGUGAGGAUUUGAUAUUGUAAAAUGAAGUUUAUCAUGUACGUAUAUUAUUAUAUCAUGAUUUUUGAGUUCAUAUAA